AAGCAUAUAACUAAGCGGAGGAAAAGAAACUAACAAGGAUUCCCCCAGUAGCGGCGAGCGAAGCGGGAAGAGCCCGGGAUGAAAAUCUCUUCGGAGAGUUGUAGUCUGAGCUCCCUUGGGCGGUCAGUGUGGGUAAAUCGUCUGGGAUGACGUGCCAGGGAGGGUGAGAGCCCCGUCCAGCCCACACAGGACCCGCCCGCACGAGGGCGCUUCAACCGAGUCGGGUAGCUUGGGAAUGCUGCUCCAAUUGGUGGUAAAUCUCAUCAAAGGCUAAAUAACGGUGGGAGACCGAUAGCGAACAAGUACCGUGAGGGAAAGAUGGAAAGAACUUUGAAAAGAGAGUGAAAAGCGCUUGAAACCGUCACGGGGGAAGCGGAUUGCGUGAGUGAUGGUGUGCACUGUUCAGCUCAAAGUGUGGAGUGUAUUCUGUGCAUGCCGGGCGUGUGUGGCUGGGGUGCGUGCGAUGUUGGUACGCGCUCCUGGUGAGGGCUCCCCGCUCGUCGGGUGAGGACACACGCGAAAUGACGCAAUACGACCCGUCUUGAAACACGGACCAAGGAGUCUAGCACGGCUGCGAGUCGAAGGGUGUGAAAACCCAGAGGGCGCAGUGAAAGCGAAAGAAAGCAAAUUGGGGAGGCGUUGCGGUUUUACCAAAAUGUCCUACCUCGAGCACCUGUGCUGGGACCCGAAAGAUGGUGAACUAUGCCGGAGUAGGGCAAAGCCAGAGGAAACUCUGGUGGAGGCUCGUAGCGAUGCUGACGUGCAAAUCGCUCGUCGAACUUGGGUAUAGGGGCGAAAGACUAAUCGAACCAUCUAGUAGCUGGUUCCCUCCGAAGUUUCUCUCAGGAUAGCGGGCCGACGACAUGUUGUUUUGUGCGGUAAAGCGAAUGAUUAGUGCAUUUGGGGGCCGAAGGCCUUCAGGCGAUUCUCAAACUUUAAAUGCGCAAGGGGGCGGCUGCUUAAUUGAGCCUGCUCUUUGAAAAACGUCGGCCCUGUGGGCCACUUUUGGUAAGCAGAACUGGCGAUAAGGGAUGAACCUUAAGCGCGGUUAAGGCGCCGUAUUGCCCGCUUAUAGACCCCACAAAAGGUGUUGAUUC
rnacentral:rRNA from 1 species